AAUGAACGCUGGCGGCGUGGAUUAGGCAUGCAAGUCGAACGCGAAAGUUCCCUUCGGGGAGCGAGUAGAGUGGCGAAAGGGUGAGUAAUGCUUGGAUGACCUGCCCUCGAGACGGGGACGACAGUUCGAAAGGACUGCUAAUACCCGAUAGUCCGGUUUAGAUGCGUCUAGAUCGGUAAAUGGUGCUUCCGCUCGAGGAGGGGUUCAAGUCCUAUCAGCUUGUUGGUGAGGUAACGGCUCACCAAGGCGAUGACGGGUAGCCGGACUGAGAGGUUGGCCGGCCACAUGGGAACUGAGACACUGUCCUGACUCCUACGGGAGGCAGCAGUGGGGAAUAUUGCGCAAUGGGCGAAAGCCUGACGCAGCAACGCCGCGUGUGUGAUGAAGGCCUC
rnacentral:rRNA from 1 species